rnacentral:tmRNA from 1 species
GGGGCCGACAGGUUUUGACAGCGAGAUGACUUGUUGGGUAAGCGUGCCGAGCGUUGUAAAUAUUGCUCGUAAAUCUAAAUUUUCAACCGUCUUAACUGGCGAAAACAACUAUGCGCUUGCAGCUUAAUCUUUCUUAGAAAGAUGGCUAAAUUCUCUCACUAGGUGGGAAGAACAAGCUACCUUUUAGUGGAUCCUGCUCAAUGAUUCGCUAAGUUUGGUAUCAUCAAAUUGAGAUAGCUCUUAUAAAGCCUUGGUAUAAGAGUAAAAUUAAAAGGCUAAGGAAUAAAUAGGUCGCAUUUUGCCGGUUUACUCUCUAAAAUUAAGUAAAUGCUACGCACGAAGAAAGCUUGAUAAUUCCUUGUUUGGACGAGAGUUCGAAUCUCUCCGGCUCCACAC